rnacentral:lncRNA from 1 species
UCAUGGUACUCCAUUCUUGAAGAGCUUGAAAAAGAAUAUCAAGAAGUUAGCUUAUGUACUUGAAAAGAAUUAUAAUCUGACUUGAUGGAAGUGCCCUUGGUAGAGUUGAGUAUGCAUGUCAUGAUGAGGUUCUUGCAUGUUGAAGACUUUGACAUAUCUUCAAUAGCUUCUUGCGUGUUAAAAAUAAGAACAAUCAAAGAAGAUGAAAGACAUAAGCGGAAACACAUAAUUAUUACUCUGAUACCAUGUUAAAAUGGCAGGAGCCAUAUAUGAAUGAGAAAGAAAGGAUGAACAAGAAAGAAGGAAGAAAAAGAUAAAGAAUAGAAAAUCAA